ACGCUGGCGGCAGGCCUAACACAUGCAAGUCGAGCGGUAGAGAGAAGCUUGCUUCUCUUGAGAGCGGCGGACGGGUGAGUAAUGCCUAGGAAUCUGCCUGGUAGUGGGGGAUAACGUCCGGAAACGGACGCUAAUACCGCAUACGUCCUACGGGAGAAAGCAGGGGACCUCCGGGCCUUGCGCUAUCAGAUGAGCCUAGGUCGGAUUAGCUAGUUGGUGGGGUAAUGGCUCACCAAGGCGACGAUCCGUAACUGGUCUGAGAGGAUGAUCAGUCACACUGGAACUGAGACACGGUCCAGACUCCUACGGGAGGCAGCAGUGGGGAAUAUUGGACAAUGGGCGAAAGCCUGAUCCAGCCAUGCCGCGUGUGUGAAGAAGGUCUUCGGAUUGUAAAGCACUUUAAGUUGGGAGGAAGGGUUGUAGAUUAAUACUCUGCAAUUUUGACGUUACCGACAGAAUAAGCACCGGCUAACUCUGUGCCAGCAGCCGCGGUAAUACAGAGGGUGCAAGCGUUAAUCGGAAUUACUGGGCGUAAAGCGCGCGUAGGUGGUUUGUUAAGUUGGAUGUGAAAUCCCCGGGCUCAACCUGGGAACUGCAUUCAAAACUGACUGACUAGAGUAUGGUAGAGGGUGGUGGAAUUUCCUGUGUAGCGGUGAAAUGCGUAGAUAUAGGAAGGAACACCAGUGGCGAAGGCGACCACCUGGACUAAUACUGACACUGAGGUGCGAAAGCGUGGGGAGCAAAC
rnacentral:rRNA from 1 species